rnacentral:tRNA from 1 species
GCAGAGAUGCCAGAGUGGUUGAUAAUAUGGGUUUGGUUUAGGUCCAGAAUAGGAUGUGGGACAUCUCUCUG